AGAAUCAACGCUGGCGGCGUGCCUAACACAUGCAAGUCGCACGAGAAAGGGACUUCGGUCCUGAGUAAAGUGGCGCACGGGUGAGUAACACGUGACUAACCUACCUUCGAGUGUGGAAUAACUGAGAGAAAUCUUAGCUAAUACCGCAUAACACUUACGAGUCAAAGCAGCAAUGCGCUUGAAGAGGGGGGUCGCGGCAGAUUAGUUAGUUGGCGGGGUAAUGGCCCACCAAGACGAUGAUCUGUAUCCGGCCUGAGAGGGCGCACGGACACACUGGAACUGAAACACGGUCCAGACUCCUACGGGAGGCAGCAGUGGGGGAAUUUUGCGCAAUGGGGGGAAACCCUGACGCAGCAACGCCGCGUGGAGGAUGAAAUCCCUUGGGAUGUAAACUCCUUUCGAUAGGGAAGAUAAUGACGGUACCUAUAGAAGAAGCCCCGGCUAACUUCGCGCCAGCAGCCGC
rnacentral:rRNA from 1 species